UACGUAGGGGGCAAGCGUUGUCCGGAAUUAUUGGGCGUAAAGAGCUCGUAGGCGGUCCAUCAAGUCGAAAGUGAAAUCUCAGGGCUUAACCCUGAAAUUGCUUUUGAUACUGGUGGACUUGAGGCAGGUAGGGGAAGGUGGAAUUCCUGGUGUAGCGGUGAAAUGCGCAGAUAUCAGGAGGAACACCAGUGGCGAAGGCGGCCUUCUGGGCCUGUACUGACGCUGAGGAGCGAAAGCGUGGGGAGCGAACAGG
rnacentral:rRNA from 1 species